UGCAUUUCGCAAUAAA
rnacentral:misc_RNA from 1 species